UCCACGACCUUCCCAGAGACCACCACCACCACCACCUCAUGGACAACCACCUUGCUGACCUCCACCACCUCCACCACUGUUCCUCCUCCACCAGGGCUGUGUGAGAACGGGGGGACGCCCAUGGCCACCGGAUGUCUCUGCUCGCCGUCCUACGCUGGACCACGCUGCGAGUUCUCCACCGACACCGUGGACACCAACCUGCGGUUCCCUGGGACCAUCAUGGCCGCCGUGGACAUGGAGGUGACCCUCACCAACUUCAACUACACCCAGGACCUCCAGGACCCCAACUCCGAGACCUUCCUGUUCUUCCAGAAC